rnacentral:rRNA from 1 species
AAGCCAGACUCCUACGGGAGGCAGCAGUGGGGGAUAUUGCACAAUGGGGGGAACCCUGAUGCAGCGACGCCGCGUGGGUGAAGAAGCGCCUCGGCGCGUAAAGCCCUGUCAGCAGGGAAGAAAAUGACGGUACCUGAAGAAGAAGCCCCGGCUAACUACGUGCCAGCAGCCGCGGGAAUACGUAGGGGGCAAGCGUUAUCCGGAUUUACUGGGUGUAAAGGGGGCGCAGACGGCGAUGCAAGCCAGGAGUGAAAGCCCGGGGCCCAACCCCGGGACUGCUCUUGGAACUGCGUGGCUGGAGUGCAGGAGGGGCAGGCGGAAUUCCUGGUGUAGCGGUGAAAUGCGUAGAUAUCAGGAGGAACACCGGUGGCGAAGGCGGCCUGCUGGACUGCAACUGACGUUGAGGCCCGAAAGCGUGGGGAGCAAACAGGAUUAGAUACCCCUGUAC